AUGCUGCUGCACCCAGGGCCUGCAGCACUUCACCAUGCUUCCUCAGCUGCAGAGAUGCAGGACUGCCCUUGUCCCCAGUGGAAGUGCCUGGCCAUUGGGCCUGCAAAUGUGGCAGCCCUGUCACAGUCAGUUCUGCCACCCCAACACCGAAAGAAGUGCCCCACUACUCUCCUGCCGUACACAGUGGUCAUACUGAGGGCUGGUGUCCCUUGGAGAACAAAGCCCAACCAACAGAGAACACCAGGUUGCCAAUCAGGGGAACCCCAUGUCCCCCAUGAGAGUGGGGUUUGCCCACCAUACUGGAGACCCCAAACACACCUCCCUUGCCCCCCACCCCCAGCCAACCUCUUUGGGGUGUGUACACCAUGCCCAGAAGCACAGGGGCACAGCAGCACCAGCCACACGACACACCCCUGUGUCAGGGGAUCUUUCUCAACUGCUCACAAACUGUAUCGAAUUUGUGAUGAAAUCCCACCAAACUUAGGCCAGAGCUCAACCAGGCACAGCUGCACAGAAGCACAGAUGCCACCUUUGUCACUGCUCCCCUUCUGCACCUUACAAGUGCUGGCUGUCCUUCAGGGUGGCUGUCUGCACCAACACAGCCUUGCUCCUUGCUCAGGUUCACAUCUGGGUUUAGAGGAAUCCCAGCCUCCCCGAGAAAAACCCCUGACUCUUCUGCUCAGUCAUCCAGUGUCUCUGGGUACUGAAAAACAGGUACUAGUAGAGCUGUCGUGUCAGUCUGCAGGUUUAUUGUGGAGCAGGUUUCCCUUGAGAGUACAGAAAAGAAAAGGUGAUGAAAUUCCAGAGCAGUGGCGUACGUGUGCCUCUCACCAGGUACACAAUGCACAACCAGUAAAAUAUUCCAAACACGUAUCACAGGCUUCAGACAAUUGGGCUACAACACUGCAGGGUAACAUUUGUGUCAGCCCUGCUCUCCCACUGUGGCAGCAGCGGGAUUGGGUAGGGCCAGAAUCCACUGGGAACACCAACGGCCAUGGUGAGCCCAAGAGGAUGCAGGCACAGCGAGGACCAGGCAUAAAGGUCAGAGGAUGCUGCAGCAGAACAGCACCUUCAGGAUCUGGACUGUUGACUCAUCCACUGGAAGAGCUCCAUGCAGUCAUUAUUAACAGGAAAUCUGUUUCUUGA
rnacentral:lncRNA from 1 species